UACGUAGGGGGCGAGCGUUGUCCGGAUUUAUUGGGCGUAAAGAGCUCGUAGGCGGCCAACUAAGUCGGAUGUGAAAUCCCCAGGCUUAACCUGGGAACUGCAUCCGAUACUGGAUGGCUUGAAUCCGGGAGAGGGAUGCAGAAUUCCAGGUGUAGCGGUGAAAUGCGUAGAUAUCUGGAGGAAUACCGGUGGCGAAGGCGGCAUCCUGGACCGGCAUUGACGCUGAGUGAGCGAAAGCCAGGGGAGCAAACGGG
rnacentral:rRNA from 1 species